AAUAAAAUAAUAAUAAAUAAAAAACGCAAACCCUAAAACCCAAACUGUAUUUCCCGAUCAAAAUUCAGACUCAAACUUGUGAUUCUUCGUUGCACCUCCAUAUACACACAAAUCAGAUUAGCGUGUUCCAACCCAUCAAACAGAGGCGAAAAAAAAAAAACCCUGCAACAGUGAAAACCUCUGUUCGUUCUCUGCAAUAGUGAAGACUGAAAUCUUUGUUCGUCCUCUCCAACAACAAACGAUUUAGAAGCUAUCCCGUCUCUGCUCUUCAACAACAGACAAUUCAGAAGCUAGAAGCACUUGGUGGAGUCAUGUGGAGCUCUCUAUGUUGUUGGUAGAUGCUUUAAUAAAGAAAGGAGGAGGGUAGAACAUACCAACCGGUAUGUUAGAGACAGUGAUGGUCCCAAAGUGGUUGAUUUCAAAGUGUAAUUAUUGUUUUUGUUUUGGGUAAUGAUUGUUGUUUAUCGAUUUUGGCUGAAGAGUUUACCGGGUAUAAAAGAAAUUGCAUUUUCUUCAAUGAUCAAAAUGAAACUCAUGUUUUCAACUUGAAAGAUAGUAGCUUUGGAGAUUUACAGAAUAUCUAUCCAGCCUGGCUUCUCUCAAUUUUAUUAUAUUUUCUCUUUGACACUUGAUUUGCUGUCAUCUUUAACAACAUGAUCAAAUGAUUAAAAUAAAUACAUUUUCCCCUUUUGUUCUGAUGUUGUAUUGAGUCAUUUUGGUGAAAAGGUACAGUUUUGCUACUGGCAAAAUGCAUCCAUCUGAGUCUUCAACACCAGUUGAUGAUGCCCAGUCUGUUUCACCUGCACUGAUUUGAUUAAAAUCUGCCAUUUUAGGAUCUCAAGGGAGUCUAUUACCUCCAGAAGUAGCAUUUUCUUCAGUUGAAAUUGAAUGUUACAAUUUUUUUUUUCUUUGAUUUGGUUAUGAACUAAGAAAUAUGAGUAAGUUUUGAUUUAAGCUUUUUGGUUGGGUUAGUUGUAUAGUGAAAAGGCAUUUCUGUUUUAUUUCAAUGUAAUUUGUCAGGCUCCUCCAUAAAUACCACCAAAGUUCAAUAUGUGAAGUUGUAUUUCUUUUGUACAAUUUUAUUAUAUUUUCACUUUCACACUUCAUUUGCUGUCCAUUUUAACAGCAUGAUCAAAUGAUUAAAAUAAAUACAUUUCCCCCUUUUUUUCUGUUGCUGAAAAGUGAGAAGUAUGAUGUGUUGAGGUUUGAGUACAAAGUAGAUUUACCUGCUAGGCUGACCAUUAUUUUAAUUUAUGUGUUCGGCUAUCUGCAUAAGCUCAUUAGAUUAUUGGAUAUGUAAAUGAUGUUGCAUUGAGUCAUUUUGGUGAAUAGGUACAGUUUUGCUGCUGGCAAAAUGCAUCCAUCCAAAUCUUCAACACCAAUUGAUGGUGUCCACUCUUUUUCACCUGCGUUGAUUCGAUCAAAAUCUGCCAUUUUAAGAUCUCAAGGGAGUCUAUUACCUCCACAAGCAGCAUUUUCUAUAGUUGAAAUUGAAUGUUAAAAGUUUUUAUUUUUUGUUUUAUUUAUUUAUUUUUUCUUCCUUUCAUUUGAUUAUGAACUGAGAAAUAUGAGUUAGUUUUGAGUAUUUUGGUUGGGUUGGUUUUGAUUGAAGCUUUUUUGUUGGGUUAGUUGUAUACUGAAAAGGUUUGUUUUAUUUCAAUGUAAUUUGUCUGGAUCUUUCGUAAAUACUACCAAAGUUAGGGAUGUGAUGAUUGAGAAUCUUUAGAAUGCAUGGUAAUAAUUUCUUA